UAGCUUGCUAAGGCCGAUGGCGACCGGCGCACGGGUGAGUAACACGUAUCCAACCUGCCGUCUACUCUUGGACAGCCUUCUGAAAGGAAGAUUAAUACAAGAUGGCAUCAUGAGUCCGCAUGUUCACAUGAUUAAAGGUAUUCCGGUAGACGAUGGGGAUGCGUUCCAUUAGAUAGUAGGCGGGGUAACGGCCCACCUAGUCUUCGAUGGAUAGGGGUUCUGAGAGGAAGGUCCCCCACAUUGGAACUGAGACACGGUCCAAACUCCUACGGGAGGCAGCAGUGAGGAAUAUUGGUCAAUGGGCGAGAGCCUGAACCAGCCAAGUAGCGUGAAGGAUGACUGCCCUAUGGGUUGUAAACUUCUUUUAUAAAGGAAUAAAGUCGGGUAUGCAUACCCGUUUGCAUGUACUUUAUGAAUAAGGAUCGGCUAACUCCGUGCCAGCAGCCGCGGUAAUACGGAGGAUUCGAGCGUUAUCCGGAUUUAUUGGGUUUAAAGGGAGCGUAGAUGGAUGUUUAAGUCAGUUGUGAAAGUUUGCGGCUCAACCGUAAAAUUGCAGUUGAUACUGGAUAUCUUGAGUGCAGUUGAGGCAGGCGGAAUUCGUGGUGUAGCGGUGAAAUGCUUAGAU
rnacentral:rRNA from 1 species